CAGAAAUGCAACAGACAUCCAGACCUGUACAAAGCAAGCAAAAUAGUAAAGAAAAUAAUAUUCAACCUGUUACUCAUUCAGAUGCGAUCACUUCUGCUGAUAAGUCACUGUCCCUCGCCACGCCUGGACUUUUGAACAUCAUUGGAAAAAGGUGCUUGGUUCACUGCCAGCUCAAUGAUGUCUCAGUUGAAGCCUUAUGGGACACAGGAGCCCAAGCCAGUAUUAUCAACGCAGACUGGAGGGAACGACACUUACCACAUACCACCGUCAGACCGAUUGAGGAGCUCCUGGGGCCAGGAACGCUUACUGGACUGGCUGCCAAUCACACAGAGAUCCCUUUUGAUGGCUGGGUGGAAGUGAGCUUCCGUCUAAGUGAUGAUCCAGGUACAGAAGGGACCCUGCAAGUACCCAUACUCGUGGCAAGUGAUAUUAGCGUGGCUGAAAACCCUAUCAUCGGUUACAAUAUCAUCGAAGAGAUAAUUACCAGGUGGGAGAAACAGAGACCAUGGUCCAGUACUGUCUGUAGGGUAAGCAAAGCUUUCUCUAUUUCAAUGAAUAAGGCCAGAUCUAUGCUUAAACUGUUGAAGACUGUAAAUUCAAAUGUGACAGUUGGAACGGUGCGAGUGGGUAAACAAAAGGUCCAGCUCAACGCAGGGCAAAUAACCACUGUCUAUGCACAAGCACACAUUGGGGGGCAAUUUCAAGAACAAAGCCUGUUAUUCACUCCAAGUGAACCAUCACCACUACCAGAGUGUUUAAUAAUGCAGGAAGGCGUAGUCAAAGUUGGUAAUGGGAAGACAGCAAAAGUGCCAAUUGCCAUCGCUAAUACAGCCAGUCACCCAGUCAUACUUGCGCCACGACUCAUCCUUGGCCACCUGGAAGUGGUAAAGACAACUUACCCAAUAAAAACAGACUCUUUCCAGAGAAAUGAGACUCAGAUGGAGCAGGUGAUAGAACAGCCAACAUCCACGGUGCAGACAUGUGGGGUGGGUGUUACACCACAUCAAUCAAAGAGACCCAGUCAGUGGGAUCCACCAAUAAAACUUGAACACUUAACAGAGUCACAGCAGCAGAUUGUACGACAACUGUUAAAGGAAGAGUGCAACGCUUUUGCUUUUGAUGAUGAUGAUGUUGGUUGCAUCCCCUCACUCAACAUGCAUAUUACACUCCAUGACAAAUCACCUGUGCAAAAGACUUAUAUUUCUGUGCCCAAGCCACUUUUACAGGAGGUGAAGGAGUACCUUCAAGAUCUGCUGAACCGAGGGUGGAUAAGCAAAUCAAGAUCUCAUUAUUCCUCGCCAGUCGUCUGUGUGAGGAAAAAGGACGGGAGCUUGAGACUUUGCUGCGACUAUCGUGAAUUAAAUCGCAAGUCUGUACCUGACAGGCACCCCAUUCCCAGGAUCCAGGAUAUGCUGGACUCCCUGAGCGGCAGGUCUUGGUUUUCGGUCUUGGACCAAGGGAAGGCCUAUCACCAAGGAUUCCUUGAUGCCGAGAGCCGACCCCUAACAGCCUUUAUAACACCCUGGGGACUAUUUCAGUGGAACAGGAUUCCAUUUGGCCUUAGCUCAGCUCCAGCCGAGUUCCAGAGAAACAUGGAAGCUUGUCUAGAGGAUCUGAGAGAUGUUAUCUGUCAGCCUUACCUGGAUGAUAACCUUGUUCAUAGUACCUCUUUCAAUGAUCAUGUUGCUCAUGUUCGCACAGUUCUCCAAAGAUACCAGAAACAUGGAGUCAAACUCACCCCACACAAAUGUGAACUGUUCCGAAGGAAAGUGCGGUUCUUGGGCCGUAUUGUUUCUGAGGAUGGAUAUUCCAUGGAUCCAGCUGAAAUAGCCCCGGUGCAGGCCCUGAAGCUCCGAAAACCAGCUACAGUGGGAGAUUUGAGAAAAAUUAUGGGAUUCCUUUCCUAUUAUAGAACUUACAUACCCAAUUUCUCUCGCCUGGCAAGACCUCUCUAUCAGCUGAUAGCGGUGCCACCUCAAAACACAUUACCUGCUGAGCCUAAGGGAAAGAAAAGAACUAAAGUCAGUACUAAGUUAAAAGGGCAGGCAUCCCCCAACACACCCAUAACUUGGACACAGACUCAUCAAGAUGCGUUGAACACACUGAUUGACUGCUUAAUAGAGCCACCAAUUCUUGCUUAUCCUGACCUGACUCUACCGUUUGUCCUCCAUUGUGAUGCGUCACAGGAUGGAUUGGGGGCAGUCCUGUAUCAAAAACAAAAAGGAAAGAUGUCAGUGAUUGCAUAUGGGUCAAGGACACUCACACCACCGGAGAAAAACUACCACAUGCAUUCAGGAAAACUAGAAUUCCUCGCUCUUAAGUGGGCCAUUUGUGAACGCUUUAGGGAUUAUUUGUUCCAUGCUCCACAUUUUGAAGUGUACACAGACAAUAAUCCCUUAACGUACAUUUUGACGACAGCCAAACUCAAUGCAACAGGGCACCGUUGGGUCGCAGAGCUGGCCGAUUUUAAUUUCACCAUCAAAUAUCGGCCAGGGAGAUGCAAUGCAGAUGCAGAUGGCUUGUCGAGGAUGCCGCUGGACAUUGACCAGUACAUGAAGCUGUGCACAGAGGAGAUAAACCAAGAUGUGAUAAGUGCUGCAGUGCAGGGUGUGGUUUUAACUUUCAAGGAUGCUUCUCUGUGGACAAGUGGAAUUCACUUACAAGCUGUACAUCUGGUGGAAGACAACAUCUCACUGCCCACUAAUAUGUGUCUGUCACAGGAGCAGAUCAAACAAUCCCAAGAGAAAGACCCAGUUAUCAGCCGUGUCCUGGAGUACAAAAAAAAUAACAGUCGUCCAUUUGGCCGCACCCUCAAAGAAGAAUCUCAGGAUGCCAGAUUCCUGUUGAAACAGUGGACACGACUACACUUGAGCGAUGACGGAGUCCUGUACAGAAAAGCAGGAAAGAGAAACCAGCUGAUUCUACCGAAAGAACAUCAUCAAGCAGUUUACAGAGAGUUGCAUCAGGAAAUGGGGCAUCUGGGAACAGAGAGGACUCUAAGUCUAAUUCGUGAAAGAUUCUAUUGGCCCCAUAUGCAAAAAGAGACAGAGCACUUUGUGACGCGUGUAUGUGAGUGCCUGAAAAGGAAAAAACCUCAUAAGCCUACAAAAGCCCCAUUGGUUACAAUUCAAACCACCUACCCAUUCCAGCUUGUGUCCAUUGACUUUCUUCACCUUGAGAAGUGCAAAAAUGGUUAUGAGUACAUACUUGUAGUGAUGGACCAUUUCACACGUUUUGCCCAGGCUUACGCCACAAGAAAUAAGUCGGCAAAAACUGUGGUACAGCAUGUCUUUGGUGAUUUUGCCCUCAAGUUUGGCUUCCCUGAAAAAAUCCACCACGAUAUGGGAAGAGAAUUUGAGAAUCACCUGAUGGAUCAGUUGCAAGAGGUUUGCGGUGUGCGUGGGUCACACACAACCCCGUAUCACCCAAUGGGCAACGGGCAAGUUGAAAGGUUCAACAGGACGCUCUUGUCCAUGCUCAGGACGCUGAGUGAUACAAAGAAGGCUGACUGGAAGAACUCGCUGUCCAAAGUGGUCCAUGCAUACAACUGCACCCGCUCUGAAGCAACUGGCUUCUCUCCAUAUUACCUGCUAUUCGGACGUUCACCCCGGCUCCCCAUCGAUCUCAUGUUUAACCUGCAGGCAAAUGAGAAACAGCAGAGUUAUGCAGAGUAUGUUGCAAACUGGCAAACACAGAUACAGGAAGCCUAUGAUAUCGCAUCAAAGACUGCAAGUAAAGAGGCCUUGAGAGGGAAAAAAUAUUAUGACAAGAAAAUCCAUGGCAUUGAGCUUUUGCCUGGCAACAGAGUCCUACUCAGAAACCUAAGCGAAAGAGGAGGACCAGGUAAACUGCGCUCACACUGGGAAGAUUGUGUGUAUACAGUGAUAAGUCGGAAAAGCCCUGAUGAUCCAGUGUACGAGAUCAGACCAGAGAAAGGAGGACAGAGUCGGGUGGUACACAGAAACCUCCUGCUGCCCUGUGACAGUUUACCUGUAGAAAAGCCAGACAUAAAGGACGGCCAAACACAAAAAAGAAAGCACAGUGUUAAGAGCAGGAAAGUGCCAGAACAACAACACGACCUAGACUCAGGCAGUGAUGAUGACGAAAGAUAUGAACUCUGCUGUAAAUUUCCACCCCGUUCCGAACACAGUGCAAAUCUCACCACACUGAAUCCUGAAGCUGAACCAUUUGAACCGGCUAUGAUGGAUGAGUACUUACCCGAAUACCAACCUGAUGCUGGAGAAGGAGAGAAUGCAGAAGUCACAGAAACGGAGGAGGAGAAUGUUCCACAGGAGGACAACGAUUCUGUAGAGGGGGAUCAGGAUUCUGUGAGUGAACUGGAGGUGCCACAGUCAUGCACUUACCCACAAAGACUGAGACAUCAGCCAAAGAUGUUGACUUAUAAUGAACUGGGAGCACCGACAGUGGUACGGAGAAAUGUAGUUCUGAAGGAUAUCAACUUCCAGCCUGCUUGUGGUCAGAAUCUGUGGAGGCCAUGGACUUUAAUAAACAACAGAAUGGUAAACUAAAGACAAUCAAAUAUCACAGAAGAAAAAAAAAAAAAAGAGGAAAGAAAGAGGAAAUAGAAAGAAUACAUACCUGUGAGUUGAGACCCGUGACCUGUGACCUGUAAAGUAAACAGAAAAAAAGAGGUAACAAGAUAAAGUGAAUAAGUGGCCGAAUAUUAUGGAGUCUGAUUACAUGGUAAGACUCAUCUAAUUAAGAUGUAACUGUUUACAUAUAUGCUAAUAUUGCUGGUAGGAAUAGUCAGAUAAGUGGUAAAGUGCAAUAGUUAAGAAAAUAUAGCACAAUAGUGACUGAACCCUUUUUUUUUUUUCUAGAAAAUAAGCCGGCAAGGAGGGAAUAACUGAUUUCAUGCACAGAGUUUAAACAAACUGAGAACCUACCUUUUGUCUCACAGCAAUGUACAGGUCAUCCUGAAAACAACUGUUCUAAAGUUGUGGUAAAAUGUCGGAAGAACAUUUUUAAAAGUGGGGGAGGGUGUAGUGGUAUGAACUCAAGUAGUUAUGUAUGUAUUGCUUAUCAUUAAUAUUAUUAGUUGUCAUUUGUAAAAUAUGGUUCUUGUGUUAAAUGUAUAUCAAAAUAUAUUUGUAUAUAGUAUUGUGCAAUGAUGCCAACUUGAACAUCACGUAGACCUGUAGACGCUGGCGGGUGACGCUAGAGGGCGAUCGUGAGCCGCAGGACAUAGAGCUUAAUUUAUAUAUGAAGAAGCCACUCUGGCAGUCACUGAUAAACAGUUGAAAACAACUAAUUCCUAUCUCUGUUUAUGUGUUUUUACAGCAAUAAAACAAUAUAUGUGCCACCAGAAGUCUCCGCCUCUUCUGUGUGUGCAACAUGCGCAGUUCCUCACAUUCACCUCUCGUGCACUUCCUCACUUUCAAAUUUGCUGUAUUGAUUUAGCUUGGAAUUUACAAUCACCCUUCCGUCAACGUCAUCUUUCCCUCAUCCAUCUCAACCGGUGUUCAACUACAGAAUCUUAUACAAGUUUGGAGUCAUGAGUGGUUUUCUGUAAUGAAAUUCCCAGUCGGAGUCAGGGCACAUAAAGCCAGCCGGAAUGAAAUUCAACCACUGGAAUCCUAGCCUUUCAUCUGCAGCUUCACUUUUCUGUCCUGUUUUUGUGUGUGUGUGUGUGUGUGUGUGUCUGUAUUUAAUGGUCGUGUGUCUGUGAGUAUGUGAGCAUGUGGCCUGAUUUUCGGGAGGUCUGUAGGUGUUCCGUUAUCAGCUUCUGAUGGAUGGUAGUUCAGUAUGCCUCUCUUUGUGUUUGCAUAGCUGAAUUCAAUAAAAUGACACUCGUUUAAGGAGAAGCACAGAAUCAUGUACCAACUUAUUAUUAUGUGCAGUAGUGAUUUUGGUGGGUCACGGGUUUGGUUUGAUUAGGUAACAGACAGCAGGAAAAGCAAUGCUAAAUGCAAAUAAUAAAAUGCAACUAACCAUAUAAUUGUGCAUAUUUAGGAUUAUAAAAUUAAUAGGCUUAUUGAUUAGAAGAGAGGAGAAGACUUCCUAACAUGAUUUGUGCUGACCACAGUGUGCUUUGUGUGGUAAUUUAUUGGCUGCUGAGAGCAUUAAAAUUCAAGAGACAUUUGGAAAACAAACUGUAAUGUAAAACUGAAAAGUAAAUAUUCCAGUAUGUUAAUUGGUUUGCAUAUUGUUCAACCUAUGCUGUUCAUGGUAUUAUUUACAUUUUUGGGUAACAUUUUACAAUAAGGUACAGUAGUUAACAUUAG